rnacentral:rRNA from 1 species
CUGCAGCUCUAGUGGUGAUCAUUAUUAUUGGGCCUAAAACGUCCGUAGCCGGUUUAGUAAAUGCCUGGGUAAAUCGUGUAGCUUAACUAUACGACUUCCGGGUAGACUGCUAAACUUGAGACCGGGAGAGGCUAGAGGUACUCCUGGGGUAAAGGUGAAAUUUUGUAAUCCUAGGGGGACCACCAGUGGCGAAGGCGUCUAGCCAGAACGGGUCUGACGGUGAGGGACGAAGCCCUGGGGCGCAAACCGGAUUAGAUACCCGAGUAGUCC